rnacentral:rRNA from 1 species
GACGAACGCUGGCGGCGUGCUUAACACAUGCAAGUCGAACGGAAAGGCCCCUUCGGGGGUACUCGAGUGGCGAACAGGUGAGUAACACGUGAGUAACCUGCCCUUGACUUCGGGAUAACUUCAGGAAACUGGGGCUAAUACCGGAUAGGAAUCCUUGCUGCAUGGUGUGGGUUGGAAAGCUUCGGCGGUUUUGGAUGGACUCGCGGCUUAUCAGCUUGUUGGUGGGGUAGUGGCUUACCAAGGCUUUGACGGGUAGCCGGCCUGAGAGGGCGACCGGCCACAUUGGGACUGAGAUACGGCCCAGACUCCUACGGGAGGCAGCAGUGGGGAAUAUUGCACAAUGGGCGGAAGCCUGAUGCAGAAACGCCGCGUGCGGGAUGACGGCCUUCGGGUUGUAAACCGCUUUCAGCAGGGGCGAAGCUUGUGGUGACGGUACCUGCAGAAGAAGCACCGGCUAACUACGUG